rnacentral:rRNA from 1 species
UGCAGUCGAGCGAACAGAUAGGAGCUUGCUCCUUUGACGUUAGCGGCGGACGGGUGAGUAACACGUGGGUAACCUACCUAUAAGACUGGGAUAACUUCGGGAAACCGGAGCUAAUACCGGAUAACAUUUGGAACCGCAUGGUUCUAAAGUGAAAGAUGGUUUUGCUAUCACUUAUAGAUGGACCCGCGCCGUAUUAGCUAGUUGGUAAGGUAACGGCUUACCAAGGCAACGAUACGUAGCCGACCUGAGAGGGUGAUCGGCCACACUGGAACUGAGACACGGUCCAGACUCCUACGGGAGGCAGCAGUAGGGAAUCUUCCGCAAUGGGCGAAAGCCUGACGGAGCAACGCCGCGUGAGUGAUGAAGGGUUUCGGCUCGUAAAACUCUGUUAUUAGGGAAGAACAAAUGUGUAAGUAACUGUGCACAUCUUGACGGUACCUAAUCAGAAAGCCACGGCUAACUACGUGCCAGCAGCCGCGGUAAUACGUAGGUGGCAAGCGUUAUCCGGAAUUAUUGGGCGUAAAGCGCGCGUAGGCGGUUUCUUAAGUCUGAUGUGAAAGCCCACGGCUCAACCGUGGAGGGUCAUUGGAAACUGGGAAACUUGAGUGCAGAAGAGGAAAGUGGAAUUCCAUGUGUAGCGGUGAAAUGCGCAGAGAUAUGGAGGAACACCAGUGGCGAAGGCGACUUUCUGGUCUGUAACUGACGCUGAUGUGCGAAAGCGUGGGGAUCAAACAGGAUUAGAUACCCUGGUAGUCCACGCCGUANACGAUGAGUGCUAAGUGUUAGGGGGUUUCCGCCCCUUAGUGCUGCAGCUAACGCAUUAAGCACUCCGCCU